GACGAACGCUGGCGGCGUGCUUAACACAUGCAAGUCGAACGGAAAGGCCCUGCUUUUGUGGGGUGCUCGAGUGGCGAACGGGUGAGUAACACGUGAGUAACCUGCCCUUGACUUUGGGAUAACUUCAGGAAACUGGGGCUAAUACCGGAUAGGAGCUCCUGCUGCAUGGUGGGGGUUGGAAAGUUUCGGCGGUUGGGGAUGGACUCGCGGCUUAUCAGCUUGUUGGUGGGGUAGUGGCUUACCAAGGCUUUGACGGGUAGCCGGCCUGAGAGGGUGACCGGCCACAUUGGGACUGAGAUACGGCCCAGAAUCCUACGGGAGGCAGCAGUGGGGAAUAUUGCACAAUGGGCGGAAGCCUGAUGCAGCAACGCCGCGUGCGGGAUGACGGCCUUCGGGUUGUAAACCGCUUUCGCCGGUGACGAAGCGGGAGUGACGGUAAUGGGUAAAGAAGCACCGGCUAACUACGUG
rnacentral:rRNA from 1 species